ensembl:lncRNA
ACGGCCUCCUCUUGAAAGAGCCCCCGAGAGCGGGCCUGGAGUGGGAAGAGAGGGCUGGGGCCUCCUUCCUGUCUUCCUCCCUCUCCCGCCUCCUGGCUGGCUGCAGCUGUGUUGCCUGAUGUGGAGCUGAGCACAGACUUAAUUACUGCUCAGCCCUGCUCAUUAGUGCCUCUGAAAGCCAGAGAAGCCCCGAGUUAUGAAGUCCCCAGCACAGUGCAGGCCCAGGCCCCAGGUUUCCUGGGUGAUCGCUAGACCCACUUCUUGUGGAUUGGGUCUGUCUGACUUGGGCUCCCUUUGAGGGCCUCCUGUGGGAGAUGUUCCUCCCUGGGAUGGGAGAAGGGUUGGAGCUGGAGGGAGUGAAAUGGAAUAAAGAACUAUGGAGCGCCUGAACACUGAACAAAAAAGGGAAGCUUGAAGGAAGGAGGAGAGGUUGGGUGGACCCUGGAAAUUAUAAACCCAUAGACCUAGAAUGUAAGCUCCAUUGUGUACUGAAUUGCUGAUACAUCCCAAGAAUCUGGAACACUAUCCAGGGCAUGGUGGGCCUUCCAUAAAGACAGAAUUUGUUGAGAGAAUAAGCAAUGUGAACUCCUGCUG